rnacentral:rRNA from 1 species
UACGAAGGGGGCUAGCGUUGCUCGGAAUCACUGGGCGUAAAGCGCACGUAGGCGGCUUUUUAAGUCAGGGGUGAAAUCCUGGAGCUCAACUCCAGAACUGCCUUUGAUACUGAGAAGCUUGAGUUCGGGAGAGGUGAGUGGAACUGCGAGUGUAGAGGUGAAAUUCGUAGAUAUUCGCAAGAACACCAGUGGCAAAGGCGGCUCACUGGCCCGAUACUGACGCUGAGGCACGAAAGCGUGGGGAGCAAACAGG